rnacentral:rRNA from 1 species
AGAGUUUGAUCAUGGCUCAGAGCGAACGUUAGCGGCGGGCCUAACACAUGCAAGUCGAGCGAGAAAAGGGCUUCGGCCCUGAGUAAAGCGGCGGACGGGUGAGUAACACGUAGGUAAUCUUCCCUUGAGCGGGGGACAACGAGCCGAAAGGCUCGCUAAUACCGCAUACGUUUCCAGAGGCCCCGGUCUUUGGAAGGAAAGCUAGGCCGCAAGGUCCGGCACUCGAGGAGGAGCCUGCGUCGCAUCAGCUAGUUGGUGGGGUAACGGCCUACCAAGGCGAAGACGCGUAGCUGGUCUGAGAGGAUGAUCAGCCACACUGGGACUGAGACACGGCCCAGACUCCUACGGGAGGCAGCAGUGGGGAAUAUUGGACAAUGGGCGCAAGCCUGAUCCAGCCACGCCGCGUGAGUGAUGAAGGCCUUCGGGUCGUAAAGCUCUGUGGGGAGGGACGAACCGCUGCACGUUCAUAGCGUGCAGCAUGACGGUACCUCCUUAGCAAGCACCGGCUAACUUCGUGCCAGCAGCCGCGGUA